rnacentral:lncRNA from 10 species
UUUAGAAGAGAUGAGGGGUAAAACAAAGAUACCCAGGUUCUGGCUAUACCUUUCCUCAAAUGAGCUGCAUAACCUCUUGGCUUCACUUAUCGCUGUGUCACUGAGACAUGCCAACUAGAAAAUCUUCAAUGUCUAAAAACUCGUAAAACUCUAGGAUUCUAAAAUUAUUUCAUUUAAUCAAAAUUAAGAAAAUUCUUCAAACAUUUACUUUUUCCACAGAUGAAGAAAACCUCUCUUCUCUUCACUGCACCCUUGUUACGACCCUGUCACUUUUUCAUUCUUCAUGAAUUUUGAGGUAGUUACAAUACUUAACAGAUUAAUAGGAUGAAGACAGGAUUUAACCACUCAGAACAAUGCUUCUCAAACUGGGCACUUCGGGAAUAACAUAGAAGGUGCCCUGGUAAGAGAAGCAGCACUCCUUUGUGGAUUAAUUUUUAAAAAUCUAAUUUUUACACUAAAACCAAUAAAGCAAUAUACAGAACAGAAAGAAGAUUCACAUGAAUGCUGUAGUUUUUAGCACAAAACGUCUAUAUACACACACACACUCACAUGACCUUUAACAUACAUACAUACAUACAGACAUACAUACAUACACACACCCACAUAUUUUUUAAGAGACAGGGUCUUGUUCUGUCACCUAGGCAGUGGUGCGAUCAUAGGUCACUGGAGACUUGAACUCCUGGGUUCAAGCGAUCCUCCUGCCUUGGCCUCUCGAGUAACUGGGACUACAGGCUGAGGCAGGAGAAUCACUUGAACCUGGGAUGGAGGUUGCAGUAAGCCGAGAUUGUGCCACUGCACUCCAGCCUGGGCAACAGAGCGAGGCUCCAUCUCAAAAAAAAAAAAAAAAAGAAACUAUUAUCCAAAGAAGAUCAUACAAGACAGUCAUGUGGCAGAUUAUAGUCUGAAAAAAUGUCAGAUUUAAAAUAUUAUGGAACAAAGGCUAAAUGAUUUUGUCUGACAUACUCAUCU